GACGAACGCUGGCGGCGUGCUUAACACAUGCAAGUCGAGCGGUAAGGCCUUUCGGGGUACACGAGCGGCGAACGGGUGAGUAACACGUGGGUGAUCUGCCCUGCACUUCGGGAUAAGCCUGGGAAACUGGGUCUAAUACCGGAUAUGACCUCCUAUCGCAUGGUGGGUGGUGGAAAGAUUUAUCGGUGCAGGAUGGGCCCGCGGCCUAUCAGCUUGUUGGUGGGGUAAUGGCCUUCCAAGGCGACGACGGGUAGCCGACCUGAGAGGGUGACCGGCCACACUGGGACUGAGACACGGCCCAGACUCCUACGGGAGGCAGCAGUGGGGAAUAUUGCACAAUGGGCGAAAGCCUGAUGCAGCGACGCCGCGUGAGGGAUGACGGCCUUCGGGUUGUAAACCUCUUUCAGCAGGGACGAAGCGCAAGUGACGGUACCUGCAGAAGAAGCACCGGCUAACUACGUG
rnacentral:rRNA from 1 species